AUUCUUGUCCUAAGACUUGUUAUUCCAGUCUCUUUGUGAUCGUUUCGUGUGAACCUAAGAAAUCUCUCUUUGGGUGUGCAGAACUGACUAAGAAAUUCUGAUGAUUAUUUGAUUGUUUGAUUAAAAAUUUUUUGAGAAAUAACCAGUGAAAAGUUGGCACGAGUGGUAAGUACAUUGAGGGUUUGUUUUAAUCCAAAUUUAUUGUGUGAAACACGAGGUGAGUGAAUUUCAUUAUUCGAGUGAACACGUAAGGGAGUGUGUGAGGUCCUUUUUUUUUUUGUUUAUACUAAUCUUUUUAUUUUGUAGAUAGGGAAAACGUUCUGCAAAACAGAGAUAAAGCACUGUGAUGAUUCUCCAUUCCACUGAUUAAAGCUUUGGGAGGAGGAUUAGUGGGGGAGAUGAGACAGAGAUGAGAGGGGAGGAAUGGAACCAAUUGCCAUGAACGUUAGAUCAAUUGGAGAACUCACGCGCGGAGCAGCACAACCGUUCCCCAGCCCGUAGAGAGAGAGAGCUCCAGUUAGUUAGAGAAGAAGUAAUAAUACUAUGGGGCUGAGUAUGGCGAGGAGGAGGUUCUGUGGGUAGUCGUAGGAGAAAUGGACGAGGAUAGGAGAGAUAGACACCAAGGGGAUGAUAACUUUAGAGUUAUAAAGAUGAAUGUUCCAUCGUUUCAAGGAAAAAUCUGAUACUGAAGCCUUACUUGAAUGGGAAAAGAAGAUGGAACUCGUGUUGAAUGGGAAUGGAGAACGUUCAAUUGCGGACUUGCGGAAGACAUGAAAGUCCGUGAUGAGAAAGCGCUUUGUUCCAGGGGCCCAUUUAUACAGAGGUUUGUAUCAAAAAUUGCAGGUCUCACGCAGGGCAAUCGAAGAUGUGGAAGACUAAUACAAAGAGAUGGAGAUUGUCAGAUUAGGGCAGAUGGGAAGAAGAUCGAGAAGCACAUGAAUCGUUGUCUUUAAUGGCUUAAUCAGGAGAUUGCUAAUGUGGUUGAGUUGCACAUUAUGUGGAGAUAGAAAGAAAAUGUUUGCAAAAGGCUAUUAAAUUUAGCAACAGCUCAAGGGAGGGGGACAAUACACGACCUUCAUCAAAUUGCAUCCACUUCUGAGAUCGAACUAUCCCAAGAAAGAAGACAGUCCCAAACGUCCUCCAUUUCAAACCAAGCCUGAACCUUCCAAACAAGGAAAAUCGUGGUAUAACUAAAAUCCUACACUCAUUAAUCGUGAUAUUAGAUGCUUUAAUGUCAAGGCAGGGGACACAUAGCAAGUCAAUGCCCAAAAGCGGGUUAUGGUGAUGGGGAUAAUGGAGAAAUUGAGGACGAUGACCGAAGAUAAUCUGAAUCCAUGUCUCCAUAGAGGGAAGCAUCUGAGGAGGAAUAUUUAGCGGCCUGAUGCAUUGCGUUAGUGACAAAGAGGAUCGUUGAGCUUGCAAAAGAGAACGAAGACGAAAUUCAACGACCGGUUGGUGAGAAAAAGAGGGCUAGCUUUUCACCGCCCGACACUAGAUGCUAUGUAAGGACAAGGUAUGUAGCGUUAAUUAUUGAUGGUGGAGUGUACACAAUGUGGCAAGCCACAACCAUGGUUCAUAAAAUUAGGAUUUUGCAACGAAUGCAUCCUUAAGCCUUUAAAUUACAAUGGUUUUGAAUAAUAGUGGUGUGAGUGAGGGUAGUUGAGGGUGACUAAACAGGUGUUAGUGGCGUUCCGAAUCGGUUAAAUAUGAAGAUGAAUAGUUGGGUGAUGUAGUACCGAUGCAAGCUGGACACUUGUUGUGUAGGACGCCAUGCAGAUGUUCGAUUAGGCGGGUGAAGCAUGAUGGGUUCACGAAAUAAAUAUUCAUUGUACUUAAUCAACGACCAUAAAACCCUUGAUACUUUAUCACCGAAACAAGUUAUGAAGAUUUCAAGUGAGAUUACAAAAAGAGAGUGAAACAAAAAAAGAGUAGGUGAACAAGGAUGAGCGAGGCGAGGAAAAAAAUAGAGAAGGAAAUGCAUUAAGAUCCGGCUCAUUGAGGUAAGGUAAAAAAGAGAGAAAACAAAGAAGUUUUAUGCAAAAGACAAAGAAAUCAAGAGAGCAAUUGUUUCAAAUAGCCAAUGAUUAUACUCUUGUACAAGGAGGCAUUUAUAACCCACUAACGGACUUGGACCUGUAUACCUAGUUCUUAUAUCUCUGUUGUAGCGAAUUGAGGACGUCUUCCCAAUGAGAUGCUGCAUGGUUACCUCCCAUUCGAGGAAUCGAGCAUCAGAUUGAUUUUGACCACGGCGCUUCCAUUCCAAAUAGACCAGCUUAAGGAGCAACCCCGACAGACAAGGAGCUUAAAGGCAAUGUUAGUGAAUUGUUAGAAAAGGGGUAUGUUAGGGAAAGCAUGAGUCCAUGGGCGUUCCAGUUGUUAGUUUCUAAGAAGGAGGGACAUGGAGAAUGGUGCGUGAAUUGAUGAGCAAUUAAAUAAUAUAACGGUAAUAAAGACGUCUCCUAUUCUCGUUUAAAUGAUAUAUGCUAGAGAAUUGAAUGGUUUUGUGAUUUUCUACAAUUGACUUGAAAAAAGUGGAUAUCAUCAAAUCCACGAAGAAAGGAAGGCGGAGAGUGAAAAACUGCAUUCCCAAAACUUAAUAUGGAUUGUACGAGUGGUAGGUAAUUCCAUUGGUCUAACUAAUGUUCGAGACUUUCCAUGGUUUAAUAAAUCAUAUUUUGCGUGCAUUAUCAGAAAAUGUGUUGUUGUAUAUUUUGAUGUACUCCUUUUUCAAAUUAUUUUAAAUAGCAAAAAAUUAGAUGAUCAUGUACAAUAUUAACAUCUGUUUUAGAUGCGCUUAGACAAGAAAAAAAGUUAUGUGCUAAUUGAAGAAGUGUACCUUUUGUACAGAUAAUCUGUGUUCUUAGACUUGGUUGUGAGUGCACAGGGUCCUACAUGUUAAUACGGAGAAGAUACGUGCUAUCCAGAAUGGCCCGAGUCCCACAACCGUAGGUAAUGUGAGGAGUUUUCAUGGAACUUCCUAGUUUCUACCGACGGUUUGUGAAAGAUAGAUGUUCAGCACAUUGCGCACCACUUACGGAAGGCAAGUAAUCAAGAAAAAACGUGGGUUUUAAGUAGGGAGACGAAUAAGAAAAGGCAUUCAAUUGGUAGAGGCAAAAGGCUGUACAACGCUCCUUUAUUUAUCUUUUGGCCCAAUUUUGCGAAAAAUAUUUAAAAUGGAAUGUGAGCUUAGGUAUGGGAUAGCGCAGUUUUAUGCAAGAGGGGGACGAAUCAAUAGCUACUUCAGUGAGAAACUAAGUGGGGCAGUCUUAAACUACCCGACUUAUGAUAAGGAGUGGUAUGCAUUGGUUAGGGGCGUUGGAGACAUGACGUCACUACCUAUGGCAUAGAGAAUUAGUGUCCAUACAGAUCAUGAGUCCUUUGAAACAUUUUAAAGGCCAAACAUAAACUGAACAAAAGACAUGCCUAAUGGAUGGAGUCAUCGAGAAUUUCUGUACGUAUCCGAUACAAGCAAGUAAGAAAAAAAACGUCGUUGCCGAUGCACUUUCUCGCAGGUACGUAUUGCUUCAACUUUGCUGCAAAUUCUUGAUUUGAGCAGCAAAUUAGGAAUUAUAUGCAAAAGACCAUGAUUUUUAUGAAGAAUAAAAUUGAGCGAGAACUCCGACAAAUGGAAGGUAUUUUAGGCAUGAUGGAUUCUGUUUCGUAGAGAACAAUUAUGCGUGAUAAAUUGCCUGUGAGGAGAAUUACUGGUUAGAGAAUACCAUGGUGGAGCUUGAUGGGACUUUUGGAUAUUGCCAAAGACUUUACUAUUGUGCAGGAAUAUUUUUAUUGGCCACAUAUAAAACGAGACAUUGAGAGGAUUUGUGGACGAGUAUCACCUUGUAAGCAAGCUAAGUCUCGAGUGCAGCACCACGGUUGUAUACUCAUCUUCCUAUUCAUAGUGAGCCAUUGGAUUGAUAUUCAACUGGAUUGGGUGGAGUUGACCUAGGUCUAACACGUGGGAAGAUUCAGUUUUUGUUGUUGUGGACAAAUUUUCAACAAUGGCACAUUUAUUCCAUGUCACAAAAUUGAUGAUAUUUCACAUGUUGCAGAGUUAUUCUUUAAAGAAAUUGUGGUUUACAUGGUCCGACCUAGAACAAUUGUUUCUGAUAGAGCUGCAAAUUCUUGAGUUAUUUCUGAAGACUUUAUGGGGUAAAUAGGAACCAAGUUUGUUUUGUUUUCAACUACUUGCAUCCUCAAACCGAUGGUCAAACAGAAGUAGUAAAUAGAACUCUAUCUACUUGUUGCGGGCAAUUAAUAAAAAAAAUAUAAAACCGUUGUAAGCAUUGUUGCCGAUUUUGAAUUGCUUAUAAUCGUUCUGUUCACCUGCUACUAAAAUUUUCACCAUUUGAGAUUGUUUUAUGGUUUAAUCCUUUAACUCCUUUGGAUUUAUCUCCAUUACCUUUGACUGAGCAUGUGAAUUUGGAUGGAAAAAGAAAGGCUGAACUUGUAAAACAACCCCUUGAGAAAAGCAAAACUCAACAUUGAAAGAAGAACUGAUCAAUUCGAAACAGCCAAUAAAGGGCGGCAACAGGUAGUUUUUUUUGAAUUGGCGAUUGGUUUGGUUAUACAUCGUAAGGAGCCGGUUCCCACUCAACUGGGGGAAAAAAAAAAAUCCAAGUUACUAACCAGAGGGGACGGCCGUUCCAAGUCUUGUAAUGAAUAAACGACAAUGCAUACAAACUGGACUUACCCGGUGAAUAUAAUGUAAGUGUUACCUUCAAUAUUUUUGAUUUGAUCCUUUUGCUGUAGGUGAUGAACUUUGAUUUGAGGACAAAUAUUUUUCAAGAAGCGGGGAAUGAUGAGGACAUAUAACACGAGAUCCAGAACUGCGGACCAAUUCCAGUUUCCAUUGGCCCAAUUACCAGAGCACGUGCCAAGAAUUUCAAAAUGCCAUUACUUGGACUGUUCAAGGGAUGUGGGCUCAAACAAGCACGUGGAGGCCAUUGAUGGGGAUGGACAAAAUAUCCACCCUUAAUAAGCAUGAUUCAGUCCCAGAAAGUCAUAGACAAAUGGGAGCUGACUUCCCUUAAAUGAGGAUUCUUGUUGCACAACUUCUGACGUUGAAUUAAGGAUUAAUGUCAUGCUUGUCUUUUUUAACUUGAAGUUUCUUUAAUGGCAGAAUUUUAGGCUAAAUUAAAGGGAUAAAAUCAGGUUUGCUUCCUUUAAAUUGAAGCCAAAGUUUUUUUCUUAUUUUUAUAAUUUGCUAAGGCUGAUCUUUGUGGCCUUAGUAUUAUAAUUGUCCUCCUUUUCUUUGAAAGGGGGGUUGUAUUGAGUUAAGUUUUUUUCUCUUAUGUUCUUUGAGAACUAUGUGAACUUAUCAGAUUUCUCCGGGUAAAGGGGGGGGGGAAAAGAAUGAAUAUGCAUAGGAUGAGAGGAGAGAAACUUUCGUGGAUUUGUUCCUUCUUCUUUCCAUUCUCCCCUCUAGUAUUUCACCCUUAUUGUGGCGUCCUCCUUUUUACCAAGUCACAUCUCUUUAUAGGUGUUUGGGUCGCGGUUGUCCAUCUAACCUGAACAUAGAACGCCUUAGGCCACAUACUUGAUACGGUGUUCGUUACAACGAGUAAAAAAACGGGGUUCCGUAUCAUAAACCUCUACCCUCCCUUUUAUAGAUCAAGGGAAGGAGGUGAUAGACUCCUAACAAAAUUACCUAAUCAUUAUUCUAGUCUAACUAGGAAAAUAAAAAAGAUCAACACUCUCAAGAGUUCUAGUACCUCGAGAGUUUUAUACGUCACAUGUACACUCUAUUGAAACCCCAACCGGGCUUGGGCUUGACUACUGGACUUGGACUCUCCAAGUGGGCUUGGACUCAUCCAGAUGGCUUGGAUUCAACAAUCUCCCCCUCCAACCCACUGGAGGGUAUCCCGAUUAUCUUUAAAUUGUCCAUCCUGACAGCUUUGGCCACUCUUCCAUAUAUCUGUAAGCAGCAUCCGAGAUAACUUAGCCUCAUCAAUAGGCUACUGCCCACUUCCCACCGAAGUGUUAAUGCACCUCUACACCGAAUGUCCGCACCUUCUCACCGAGGUGUCCCUACACCCCCCACUAGGGUCCGCCACAAAAUAUAUUACUUUGCGAGUUUUCGUGACUCUAUCUCUCCUAUCUUGUGCGCACAAUUAGAGAGAUCACCGCCACUGAUCAAAUCAAGAGCGAAAAAGACUCGUUUCGGAGUCGCCGCGCCCUUCGCUGUAUAGUUUUUCAAAAUUGACUUGGUCUCCUUCCUCUAAGCUUCUCUUUGGACAUCCUGCACUGGUUUCACCACUCGUGUCUGGAUAGACUUCUAUACAUAUCCCAAAGCAUCUCCUUUCGCUCUUGUACAAUUCCGGAUCCUCCAAUCCCUUAGGAUCCUCAAGUAUCCUUGCACUUACCGUUGAGUACCCUAUGCAACGCUACUGUCUCUUGUCCAUUCUUCUUGCUGAAUACCACUGAACGCCAUGUCGGAUAUCAACUCCCUCUGUUUGAACACUUCCUCCAAUCGGUAUAGGCCCUCUAGUCUUCUUUUCCCCACAGCAUCUCCUUAUUUUUCUUGAAAACUCUCAGUAGUUCCUCCACUAGCGUCAAAACUGCAUCUAUUUGAAUCAGCAUCCCAUAGAAUCAAAAUUUUCGUAGAUUAGGAACAGGCCGUACCUCUCAAUGUCACAGACAUUCCGCUGGCCAUUCAGAGCGACUGAAUCUAGCCAACAACUCUGCUAGCUGUAUUGUUCGCCAUCCAUAUAUGUCCCUCGCAUGCUGCAAGUAAAGAAACCCUCUUUAUCUCUGCACAAGUGUAAAACUACCUGAAUCCAUACCCAAUUUGACUUUCCAUCUUUCGGUGCUACUAGGAGAACAGAACUCUCAUCCUCAUCAUCCAUCCUGUUAUUGCUCUUAUCGAAGACUGAUCAUGUGCUUUAUACUUGGGGUCAAUCCCUCUUGAUAGCCCUUCCUUUCGCAAUAAAGCCCUAUACAGUGCGACCUCGCGUUGUACCUCUAACCAUUCUUUUUCCGUACCUCCCUGUGUAACCUCUUCCUUGAUCUCGACCUCUUUCUUUCCCUACUUCCUUUGAGACUAAGGCCUGCGACUCAUUCUGAUCUGUCCUUACCCCCCUCUUUCUCCUCCGAGCCCCUUCAUUGAACAUGGAUCCAUGACCAUACUCGUAGUUAACUAACUUCCUAUUCGGCGCUGAAUUCUGAAGAAACCACCAUUGUCUCUCAACACUCUCUCUAGCAAGGAACUCAAAAAGCAUAAGGUCUGCAUCUGUCGUCGUCAAAUGUAGGUCAACACUGGGCCAACUGAUUAACCAAUUUUGUACCUCGCUCAUAUGUUCUAUGCUACCAUUGUUAGUCUCUCUCUGAGGUUCAAAUUCACAAGCCUCCGAUCAAUAAGGCUUUAUUUUGAUAUGUCUUCGCCUCGUACAUCCCUCCAAGUUAAUCCAAACGCAUAGCGAGUUCUGUGCUACAUGACGGAAUAUCUCGUGGGUUUCCCCAAAAAGUACAACCAAAAACACUGUUUUUCGAUUAGCCCAAUUGUCUUCCUGUUAUCUUUCUCAGUCCUCAUCUUCUUGUUAGAGGUUUUGUCACCUUUAUUCUAUUCUCCAAAGGGUCGGGCAAAUCUUGGUCAAAAUAGGAUGUCUCCAUCUUUGUUUCCACAUGGCAUAAUUCGUUUGUCUGAAAACAAAUCAUCGGAUCCCAAAUAGAACAAAAUCUCCUAACAUCACCCUGCGGAUGAAUCCGGAAUGGCCGAAACCUCCUCAAAAAGGGCUAAAUUGUCAAAAUCAAAAUUGUUAGGACCAAUUGUUAAAAUCAAAAGUUCUAAGUCAAAUUAACAAAAUCACCAACGUUAAUGAGCCAAUUGCAUACCAUAAAAAGUUUGAAACCAAAUUCCACAAUAAACCAAAUUUUUAAGACCAACUGUAAUUAUCUCUCGGGACCAUCUGACUUAACAAAAUCUAGGGACUAAACUGUCAAUUACUAGAAAUUUAGGGACUAAAGUGUAAUGUAACCAGUCAAGGGUCAACACUGACUAGGCGUGCAACGCGUGAUGGCGCAUUCCUCCCUCCCCUGGCGCGUGCAGGCGCCGUGCACCUUUGUCUGGCGCGUGAUAACGCGUGCUAUCCCCUUCUCGGCGUGUGCAAGUGCGUGAGGCCCCUACCCGGCGUGUGGCAGCGCGUGGACACUCCUAUCUGGCGCGUGUGGGCGCGUGGAAGCUCCUCUGGGAGCGUGGCAGCGUGUGGGACCUCUCUUGGCGAGUGGGACCUCUCCUGGCGCGUGGCUGAGACUGAUCGCACUCACCAAUGAUUAGCCGGCGGGUGAUGGCGCGUUCGGACUCCAUUUCCGACGCGGUUUGUUGCUGGAGUUUCGUCUCGAUGAGAGGAACAAUCUGGUGUAAUCAGAAAUUAAUUUUGAGCACUUCCGUGACAUCUGAAUUCGACUGGAGCUCCGAAUCGCCGGGGGGUUGACCAGGCUCUAAUACCAAUUGUUUUGCUCAAAAUGAAUACCGAUCACACACACACAAAAUACAAUCAAGAUUUACGUGGUUCGGCCCACGAUCCUACAUCGACAGAAAGAAAUCACAAUCCCUAUCGAAUCGGUGAUUCAACGAGGGAGACAUACGUCUCACUCACACCCUCUCUCCACAAUCUCUCUCUGUCUUGCCUUCAAUCUCCUCACAUACUCUGCUCUCACCCCACAGGCACACACACCAUGCAAUCUAAGCACUGCUACCCUCUCUUUUAUAGACCCAGGGAAGGAGGUUGAAACUCCUAACAGAAUACCUAAUCAUUAUCCUAAUCUAACUGGAAAACAGAAGAUAAACACUCUCAAAGAGUUCUAAAUAACUCAAAACUUUUACCGUCACAUGGACACUCCAUAUGAACCCCAACCGGACUUGGGCUUGGCUACUGGAUUUGGAAUCAUCCAAGUGAGCUUGGACUCAUCCAGAUGGGCUGUACUCAAUAAUAUUCACAUAUUUGAGUUUAGUUCAAGAGGGGGCAACGUGUAAUGGACUGAACCGGUUGCGUUUGGGUCAGUGCAGCAAUGGACUGGACUCAAAUUAUCCAUAUCAUGAGUAAAUCUUCAGUGAAACUGUUAUAUCAUGUAAUAUUGAUUAUGUGAUAAAAUUAACCAAUAAUAAAUAUAAUAAUCGGAUGAGGAACCUUAGGUGGUGAAUGCAACAAUUUUUUUGAAAAAAGUCAAUAAUUAUGCAAACACGACACUUUGUAAUUAAAUUGUGACACUGCGUGUCAACAAUGAUGUGGUAUCACCGUUAUAAUAUUUUUGUUCCCCGCAUCUAACAUGUAAUAGGCCUAAACUAAAAUUAGAUCGGUCCAGUUCAAUUUAGGGAUAUGAGACUAGCUGCUUGCUGGUAAUCUAAGUGGUCUAAUUUACAUUAUUGGAACAAUAAAUAAGAUCCUAACAUUAUAAGAACUCUCUCUCUCUCUUUCUCUUUCUCUCUCCGGUUUUAGCUGUGUUUUGAUAAAAAGCUUUACUACUGGAAAAAAAGUUAAGAGUUUCCGCGAUUUCUAUAUAAGUAUUUUGAUAAAAUUUUUUCCUCAUCAAAUCACUUUUUAAAUUACUGAUACAAAUACGAUACUGUAGUAAAGAAUUUCACCAAAUAUAUAUGCAAAUAUAGAUAUACAGUGGAUAUAGCUUAGCCCAAAGUACGCACUACCGAAAACAUGAGAGCCCAAAGCCCCUAAAGCGAGCCCAAGCCCCCACGAUCCCACUCAUACGUGCUUUAAAAAGCAAAUAAAUGAACAAUAUACAAUCUUACCAUUAAAUACCUAAAUGCUCAAGGAAGGUUACAAUGUUCCAACACUAUAUAAUUAAGUGAUAAGUACCCAUCCAAUGCCUAAACAAGAUUAGACUAAUACUAGACGAGAGAGAGAGAGAGAGGGGUAUAUGAAAUUGGCCUUCAAGUCUAGAAGCAGAAUCAUAAUUUUGACUCGAAGAUGCCAAUGCCAUAUAGAACCCUAGGAGUACCUAAGUAAUAAAUUUAUGUCAUUAUAUAAUUUAUGAUGAAUACACAAAU
rnacentral:lncRNA from 1 species